GGGGUGCGUUUCUUUUGCAUGACUGUGACCUGUUGUUCUUGCCUUUCUUUUGUAAAUACCUAUAAAUGCAGAGUUGGAGGCGCCGAAUCCACCUUCUGCCAUUUGUACCUGCAGGACAAGGAGGUGCGGUCCCUCUCCGUGAACCCCUCUCCCACCCCUCCCUGCCCGUCAAGCCUAGCCCCUUCCCCCUGCCCCGCUAGCUGGCUGGUCCCCAGAGCCAGCCAUCUUGGCCCCUGGAUGGUGUUGGGUUUGGGCGCAGAGGUGGGACCCCAAGGGGCAGGAUGAGGACCGUCCCCACCCCCACCCCCGUGGUCCCUCCAGGUCCCCGGGGUCCGGCCCAGAUUGACAAUGGAGUUUGUAACUAUAUAUUUUUAAUAAAGUAUAUGGUCCACUAGGGGUAGGCUGGCUGGAGACGGAAAGCUGGGAAGAAGAGUUAGAGAAAGAGAGACCGAAAUGAUGUGAGUGUGUCUGUGUGUGGUACGCGUGUCCCUUUCUGAGACACUGACCCCUGGAGGGAACUGUAUCACCCGCCAUUCUCCUUCCUGGGAGCCAAUGGGAAAGAUCCCGAGAGGGCUUCAGAGGACCUGGGCUUGGGUCGGAGCUUCGCUGCCUCCUAGCUGUGCGGCGGCUAGCCAGUUACCCGGAUGCUCUUGGCCUCGGUUUCAUCAUCUGCAGCAUGGGACGAACCAUCGCUCCCUCCCAAGAGAUGACGGGCAGGAAAGCCCUGUGUGGAUGUCAGCUAACCCUUUGCAGCUCGGGGAAGAGCCUGCAUCUACACAGCGCACACACACGCACACACCCCAGGCUGGGCUGGUGAAUUUGGCCUCGGGACCCUGGUGGGAAGGGCUCUAGGGGGCGGCUGGGAAACCCGGUCUUAGUCCGACUCAGUCUCUGUCUCACUGUGGGUGGGACCUUGGGUAAGUUCCUGCCUUUCUCCGGGCCUCAGUUAGCCUGAGCUCUACAGCGAGCCACCCCUCAAACCUAGACGACGGUGCUUUAUUCUUUCUCGAGGUUCUGCGGGUGGGCUGGGUGCUGCCUUGUCUGGUUUCUCUGGGCUCCCUCCAGCAGCAGGGCUCAGCUGGAGCGCCACCUAGGCGGCCAGGCCCAAGCGGGCUGUCCCCCCACGUCAGGUGGUUGGUCUGGCUGUUAGCUGGGGCCUCUCUUCCUCCAGAUUCCUUCAUGGCCUCUCAGGACAGCAACCUAAGACGGUGAAGGCAGGAGCUACCAGGUCUCUGGGGCCUAGCCUUGAACUUGGAUAACAUUUCUACCCCCUUCUAUCGGCCAGUCGGGUCACGAGGCCAACCCAGAGCCGAAGGAUGGGAAAUCGGGCUCCAGCUUUCGGGGGAGCGCGGUGACGUCGCACGGCCAAGGGUGGGACUGUGGCCGUACUUGGUAGUCUAUCACAGAACCUUUCAGUUUGAGCGUUCCUUCCAGCCCUGCCUCUAAGCUACAUGCCAACUGUAUACCCACGGCGUAUAAGGAGGCAGAGGGACCCUCCCUGUUCCCAGGAAUCUUCUGGGUCAGGGUGCCCCCACCUCCGGAAACACAAGGAACCAGCAGGCAAGGUCACCUACUGCGAAGUGCGAUGAGCUCCCUCGUGAACGAUCGCCUCCCACCAGCGCUGGCAACAUGGGUGCCAUUUGGGUAAAACGCUGUGCGCCCCACGUGCUUGAACAGCUUAACAAGCCAACCCGGGAUCCGAGCCCCUCAACAGAUCACUGGUCCUAAUGCCUCCCAUUAACAUGACACCCUUCACAUUCCUUCGUCCGCUGAAUCCUUACCAAAUAUCAGGAGGCAGGGAAGUAAGGCUUGUGGUCUCACUUUACACGUGAGGAAAUGGAGGCCGAGGAACUAAGGCGCUGGCCUGAACCCAGAUUGCUUGCCUUCUCUGCUCACGUGCCUGCCACGGUGGCUCUUCGGACUUCACUUACGAAGCACAAGUUCAAGGAGAAAAUUAAGACUUUUAAGACAGAGACUACGGGGGUUAAACCGAGCUCAGGUCCCUCCCGUGAAGCCGGCCUUCAGAUGAGCUCUGCUGAGCGAACCCGCCCCUGCGGGAUCACCGUGAACGUGAACGCCAGCUUUUCUCCACGAGAAAAGCUCCGACCGACAGCUUUUUGUUAUGUUGUUUCUUGUUUGCCUUCAUGUGGUUGUUUGCUCAGGCUGCGUAUGAACAGGAUUCUGGGCUACAUUGGCCAGAUUGUGUCAAAGUGCAACCCCAGCGUCUCAAUCUUUCCACAAGGGCAGUACAAA